rnacentral:rRNA from 1 species
UGGUGGGUUGCCUUGUCAGGUUGAUUCCGGUAACGAACGAGACCUCCGCCUGCUAACUAGUCACGGUUGGUGCUCCAGCCGGCGGUACUUCUUAGAGGGACUAUUGGCGCGUAGCCAGUGGAAGUUGGAGGCAAUAACA